UUCCCUGCACAGCUGCCUCCAGGCUGUACAGUCAUCAGUCAGUAGUUACUGGGAAUAAAUUAGCCUCCAAGGAUCAGAGGAUAUGUAGCCCCAAUCUGAAGUAGCUCCUAAUGCCUCCUGAAGCUGGCACAUGACAUAAAGUAUGGACAUCCUUCUGAAGUGGGCUGAAUCUGGGCAGUGCAUGGAGGUGGAUAAGAGAAGUUUACUUGAACCCUACCAGAUCCUGCAAACAGACUCGUUCUGGAGCAUCACAAGUACCCAGGGCAGAGUUUCUGCCCCAGAGAAAUGCAGGAAAACCAAACUGAUUCUGGGUGGGCAAAGUCAGUGGUCAACAAAGGGGCAAAGUAUAAUGACUGCAUAGAAUGGGAGCACUGCCCAGCCUGAGUCAUCGUGGGAACUUCACGAAGAAGUGACAUGAAGAAGCAAAGCCUCUCAUGAGUCACAAAGGAGUCUGAAACAGCUAGGUGGGGAUCAGCUAUAGGGAGUGAGAAAUGUGAAAUAUGAACAAAUGGCACAACCAGAUAACAUCAAAAACAAGUAUUUUGGUGCUGCUGGGACAUGAAAUCUUAUUGUCUGCUUCCUCCUACACGUGGCCAUGGCCUGGUCCUACGGUGCUGAAACCCUCUAACUCCCUUCAGUAGAAGGCAUCUCUGUCUGUGAAGAUGCUGUGUAUUUUCACCUUAAUUGAUGUCACCACCAACAUGAUUGAAACAGAGGCUGGAAAGCGAGACCGAUGGGUCAGAUACUCCUACUCGAUGGGUUAUUUAACUUCUCUGAGCUUUAGAACCUGUUUUGGAAAAAUGGGUAUAAGUGAAAGUACCCACCUGAAUUACUCAAGUGUGAAGUAGGAAGUAACCACUGAAUUACUAGAGGUAUGAAGUGAGCAUUCUAUAACUAGAGGAGACCGUGUCUUGCCAGUAACAAGCGUUCAAUAAUGAAGCUAUUGGUAUUAUUUAUAUUAAUGAUAAUAAUGUUAACAUUAAUACAGAUUAUUAACAUUAAUACCCUGUUAUUUAGCCAUUCAUUCUAGUGAAGAACCAGGGCCUAGGCAAGAACUCUAUGUCUCAGGCAUUGAUUUUCUGUUUCCCUCACAGCAAUGUGCCAGGGUGCAAAUGCCCCUACCCCUGAAAUCUCUCUUCUUUAUUGAUUUUCCUAAAAACAAAUAUCACAAGUUUUGGGGCACUCCUGGGAUGCUGAAUUUUCCUUAAAGUAAAGCUUUCCCUUGACAAAAAUGUUUUUUUUUAAAGAUUUUAUUUAUUUAUUCAUGACAGACACAGAAAGAGAGAGAGGCAGAGACACAGGCAGAGGGAGAAGCAGGCUCCAUGCAGGGAGCCUGACGUGGGACUCGAUUCUGGGUCUCC
rnacentral:lncRNA from 1 species